UGGCGAGCGGGUGAGUAACACGUGGGUGAUCUGCCCUGCACUUCGGGAUAAGCUUGGGAAACUGGGUCUAAUACCGGAUAGGAGCCAUCUUUAGUGUGGUGGUUGGAAAGUUUUUUCGGUGUAGGAUGAGCUCGCGGCCUAUCAGCUUGUUGGUGGGGUAAUGGCCUACCAAGGCGGCGACGGGUAGCCGGCCUGAGAGGGUGUACGGCCACAUUGGGACUGAGAUACGGCCCAG
rnacentral:rRNA from 1 species